AAGGAUUUAAGUUAAAUUCAAACUAGUAGCCUUCAAAGCUGAAAUUAGAUAAUUUCUAAGCCUUA
rnacentral:tRNA from 1 species